AAUCAACGCUGGCGGCGUGCCUCAGACAUGCAAGUCGAACGCGAAAGUCCCUUCGGGGGACAAGUAGAGUGGCGCACGGGUGAGUAACACGUAGGUAAUCUACCUUCGGAUGGGGAAUAACAAUCGGAAACGGUUGCUAAUACCGCAUAAUGCAGCGGCACCUAAUGGUGACAGUUGUUAAAGCGGGGAUCGAAAGACCUCGCGUCUGAAGAGGAGCCUGCGGCGGAUUAGCAGUUGGUAAGGUAAUGGCUUACCAAGGCGACGAUCCGUAACCGGCCUGAGAGGGCGGUCGGUCACACUGACACUGACAUACGGGUCAGACU
rnacentral:rRNA from 1 species